AUGAGCUCUGAUGAAUAAAAUAAGAAUUGGUAGUAAUUAUUGCAUAUCUUUAUGACUUAAUGAGAAUAAUGUGGUCACAAUGCAUUAUUCCUGCUUUCACUAUAAAACACAAAAAAUAAAGUGUUUGGCCCAUGGUUUAAAGGGGUAUGCUAUUAGGCCUUAAAUUUGGAGUUAAUUUUGCAUUUCAUUGUGACUUAAUGAGAAUGAUAUUUUGAUGAUGUGAUUUUGCCUCUUUCAAUAUAAAACCCGAAGUAGAAACUAAUUGGACCAUGGUUCAAAGUGGUAUGCUACAGACCCUAUAUUUGGAUAUUGUUGGUGUAUUUUUAAGUGUUGCAUUAGUUGGUAAUAAAGCAUGUGAUAAUCUCAUUAUCAUUUCUUAUUUUACUUUGAUGAAGUUUUGGGGUAGUUUAGUAUUUAGUUUCUUUUAUUCAGUUGUUUAUUAUAUUUGGUUUGGAGUAAAUUUAAUGGGAUUAUGUUUUGGCCUAUCACUCUCUGGAUCGGUUACACCUAAGCUAGUUGAGUUUGGGAUUAUGUUUUGGCUUAUCACUCUCUGGAUAGGUCACUCUCUGGAUCGGUUACACCUAAGCUAGUGGAGUUAUGGAUUAUGUUUUGGCUUAUCACUCUCUGGAUAGGUCACUCUCUGGAUUGGUUACACCUAAGCUAGUGGAAUUAUUUUACUUUGGUGAAGUUUUGGAAUUUUUUUGUCUUCAAUUUACUGUCCCUGAAAUGAUAAAAGGGUUUUGUUCAUAAUUGAAGACAAAAUUCCUGACGGCUGGUUCUCUCUUUUCCCUCUCUUUUUCCAUCUCGUCUCUGCAUCUCUACUUUUUUGCUGCUGCAUCUCUGCAGGUUCUUUUCAGCAUUUCCUUCUUUUCCUAUAUUUUCUUCUUAUUCUCUGCUGGUUUCUUCUUUCUCUGGAUCUGUCUCUCUUCUUCUUCUGAUUUGGCUUUUUCUCUGCUGUUACUCCAGUUGUCCUUUGAUCUUCCAUCCUUGUUUUCUGCCACUGGUGUUACGCUUCUCACUUUUUCCCUCCAUUGCUGUCUGUCUCUUUUCCUGUUUUUAUUCUCCUUCACCUUUGUUACUGUUGCUGCUGACCCUCCCUUUUCUUCUCUCCUAUUGUUUCUGUUGCUGACAUCUAUCCCUCCCCUCUAUAGUUGUUGGUUUCUUGCCGUUCCAGUCACUUAUUCUCCCUUUGUUUGAAUUCAAAUUCUAUUAUUUGUAAUUGUUGAUUGUUACUUAAUGAUAGUUGAAUUUAGUUUUGUUAAUUGGUUGCUCUCAAAAUAUCUGAGCUUGGCUGUAUUAUUUUGCACUGCUGGUUUGUUAGCUAUUUGAGAUAUUACACCUGCUGCGUUUAGGAGUAUGGGCUUAAUUUACGAGAUUCUCUAUUUGAAUUAUUGUAAUUCAUGUUUUGAAAACCUAUGGCUGCAUCACUCUAUUUUUGUGUAGUUAUCUCAUUAACAAUUCAAGACGAACUUGCAUUGUUUAUAAUUCCUUUGUUACUUGCAAGUUCUAUGAAGGUGUUAUUGAUGGUUUUGAUCCUGUAAAAAGGAAACAUAAGGUCUCAUAUACAGAUGGUGAUGAAGAUAUAUUAAAUCUUAGAAAUGAAAGAUGGGAGUUAGUUUGUGGUAACUUUGAGUCAGAUGGGGUGUGUAAGAGGAGCUAAUUUGAGCCCACUAAAUUAAUCAGGCCUAAUAGUCCAAGGUUGGUGGGCCCGAAUUUAUCGCAAGUCCAAGAUUGGUGGGCCUGGAUUUAUCGCCAUCAAAAAGGCCGAAUCACUCUAAGUCUCGAAAGGGUUCGGAUCCAUGAACUUAGAGACUUAUUCGGGUUCGGACUCGAAAGGGUUCGGAUCCACGAACUUAGAGAUACGAAGCACUUGACUUCGAACGAAUUCAGAUGCAAUCUAGAAGCCGCUCCAUUAAUGAGUCUGCGGGCUCGGAGCUUUUCGGGAUCUAUGCACCAAAACCAUUGGCGUAAUGGAGUUCGAACAAAGGACCCGAUCCUGAGAAUGGUGAGUGGAGAUAAAUUCACUCUUCGUUUAAACUAGCCUAUACAAUCCCGGGGGGUCCAUGAGACUCAGCAAUAUUUAGCGGCGGGGGGUCCUCUAGGACUACCUCAGCCCCUUGGGAUGAUUGAGGAUCAUUGGUUAGGUGUGGCUAAGAAGAAGGGUUCGCCGAGAGGUUGAUUUCCUCUUCGGGGUUUCCUCAUCCUCGGAGAGGUCACCUCCUCGGACAAGGUGGUUAGAGAGAAUAUUCUCCAUGUGCCUUGUACAUGGGCUCCAUCCUACAUCAUGAGGUGCCUGUAAAUAGCACCUACCCAUAGCUUUACAAGGGAUGGAUUUUGGGGAGAUAACUUUUGGGAAAGAACUAAUUUUCCUUAUCCAUUAUCAACCUUGAGAGUGAAAGUGGAAGAUCCAUGAGAGAGCGUUGCCAUUGUUCUCUCUCUAGCUACUUUGCCUUCUUCUUCACAUAAUCUCUUAUCUCUAUCAUCUCUUUGCUUUUGUGUUCUUAGUUGAGACUAUUGAAGAAUCUAAACCUCUUAUCAUCUUCUAGAGAAUUCGAAUUUUUCUUCAAGGAUUUUCGAAUUUUCUAACAACUUUCUUGAACCCUCACAUACAUUUGGCGACUUCACUGGAGAGGUGGAUUGGUUAAUGGUCUCAACGAGAUUUGGAAUCCACACAACUCCAACAAGGACGGCGGGAGAAUAUGAAGUUCACCAACAAGGAUGGCGGGAGAAUAUGAAGUUCACCAACAAGGAUCCUCUAAUGGUGGUGAUGACAGGACUAUGGCUCUAGAUCAACCACUUUUGCUCGAAGUCAUUCAAGGACUUCAAAAUACUCAAUAAGAGAUUCUUACCACUCUUCAUAAUCUCACUCACACCAUGUUGGUGAUGAGUUCUAAUUUUGCACCGGCGCCAAACGAAAAUCAAACUGGCGGUGGAGUUAUCCCCGCCGGAGUGCAAAAUCAAAUCCAAGGAGAAGUAGGCCCCAGUCAGCCUGUGGCUCAUGGAAACACAACCACAGUAACACAUGCUUAAACCAUGGUAGGUGGCAACAGUUUGCCCGCGCCCGGGCUCCAUGGCGUGCCAAGCCAAGAUCCAAUGGUGACUAGGGGAGGUUCUGGUGUAAUGAAUGGCGCUCCGGCGACUGUUGGUGUCUAGGAAAAUAUAAGGGGCAUAAUGGCACAAAAAGGAGCUUUGCCCAUACCUAAUCUUGUUACACCACCAGUAAAUGUUACUCAAGUACUAAGCGGGCUUUCUUUGGUGCCGACAACAAAUUUGCAAGCUUAACCCGGUAUAGCGGCGCCGUGCAGUGGACUUUGCGGGCCUCAAUUCAAUAUCCCAUCACCAACUGCCUUGUCCAUAGGCGCUGAUGGCCAGUAUCGUCAAAUGUCCUCACCAAUGAUGAAUUCGUAACACCAAAAUUGCCAAGUCGCCCCUAGAUCAAACUCUCCCUCAACAGUUUCUCACCCUUGCCGAUGUGCAAGCCAUAUUCGAUCUCGAACGGGGCAAGAGGACUUUACCUUCUUUGCCUAAUUCGGAUGUCAAGCCGCCUUACCCUAUCGAGAUGUUGAGUUAUCCAUACCCAGAGGGGUACACGGUGCCGAAGUUCAUCAAAAUCGAUGGCAAACAAGGAAACACUCGAGAACAUGUGCGGUUCAUCGAGACUCUGGAUAUUCAUGGUUCAAACCACGUCCUCCAGAGAAUUCUCUAAGUCCCUCACUAACCAAGCAUAUAGUUGGUAUGUUAAUUUGGCUCCAAACUCUGUCCGAAGUUGGGAGGAAAUGGUUAACAAAUUCCACUCCAAGUUCUUUCAAGUGGCGGAGAAGGUGACCACACUUGCAUUGUGUAAAGAAAAGCAACGAGAAAGUGAAGACAUCCUUGACUACUCAAAAGGUUUCAGGACAAGGCUGUGAAUUGUCACGAAGCAGUGGAGGAGAGUUAUCUGGUUCAAAUCUGCCUAAAGGGGGCAUUGAGUAGGUAUAAAAUGUUUCUAGUUAAUCACAAGCUACCCACCUUCUCGGCACUAAUAGAAGCAGCUCGGAACAUUAGCACUCCUCAGGCUCAGGAGUUCGGAUUUAAGGCCAGUUACAAGACUAGCUUCAAAUCGUCUCGUGGACCUAUUGUUGUUGCUGCCUCUGCCCCAGAUACCCAAAAGUCACAAUGAGGGGGCCAUAGAGGCCAGAAAAGGAAGCAAUAUAAUGGUGAAAAGGGGAAUGCUUCUUAUCCAUGUGGAAUCGAUGAGGUAAAAGCUCUAGUUAAGGAUGGGUGACCGACGAAGAGCUAAAAUUGCCUUAUGUCGAAGAAAUGCCAUCAAAGAAGGACUGCGAGAGCCCCAAAUUUUGCAUCUAUCAUUGCACAUUGAAAUAUCUGACAGAGAAGUGUUGGACUCUCAGGAAAAUCUUCAGAGAUAAAGUCGAGGCAGACGAAUUGAGGUUCAAAAAGCAAAAAAACUCAAUCUCUCCUAAAAAACACCCUCGAAGAAGCUGUCCGUCACAUCUACAUCCUGAGGACAAACAGUAGAGUGUGCCUCUAAAGUCUCCAAGGCCUGAGCAUAGCCCGACUCAAGUUUACGAAGAGUUGCCUUUGUCUCAUCUAUAGAGGUCCGAUAAGAGACAAACACAAACAAAACUUCCACUCGGCAACUGGCGUUCGAAGCUAUAUCCAGGCGCUUCCGAAGCCAUGAUAGAUCCACUUAGUGACGCUUCAUGUCAGAGAUCCCCUAAUACGUUGUGUCGACUACUUUCCCGUUAAGGUCACACAGCCGUUGCCUGUCCAAGCUAUAUAGGAUAGUGGCAAAAGACUCGAGAAGAGCAGUCUGAAUGAGUGGACAUUGGCAAGCAAAUGAAGCAAAGGUCUCAGGGUAACUCGAAUGCACAAGCUGUAGAACUAAAGCAAACUCAGGAGCUACCCAAUAAUGGAGAAAUGAUACUUUGCCAGAAGCCGAAGAAGGAAUUGGGGCUGGAAAGGUACUAGUCUCAAGAAUCUCCCCAAUGUCUAUCGGGUUAGAUGAACCACCCGGAGGGGUAACUUCCAGCAGAGGUUCUGAGCCUGAGAAUGCGGAUCGAUAAGGGGAAAGACCAAAAGCAUCACUAUCAAAGUGGAAAUCAUUGAGAUUCAGAUCCAAAACAUUUAAAGGCACUUGCGAUGAAGAGCCUCUAGCAGUUGUCUCAAAGGCAGGUGUCUCCUCUUGAGAAGGAGAACCAUGAGGAGUCACAAAGAGAGUCAGAGCAGAGUUCGAGGCAGGUGAAGGCAGGACAUCGAUAGCGGCCAACACUGAAGAAAAGAUAAAGAAGUCUUAUCAGGGGCAGGGAGCAGUAAAGCCAUUUGAGUAAAAAAAAUUUCUUACAGAUAGAAAUACAUGACAAACUUCAGAAAGAAAGAUUAUUUGAGGGAGAAUCAUUAUGCAAAGCCAGGGCAACUGAAGGGCUCCUAGCAUCAACAAAGUCACUUGGCUGUACAAGGGGCACCUGAUCGAUUUCAACGUCUAAUGAAACCAGAAUAGUAGUAGUCAUCCCUGAAGAAGGAAGGAAGCCCGGAGGAUGAGAAUCACAAUAAGUGCCAGAGCGAGUCUCAGAGACUUCUAAUGCAUCCACCUCCACACUAUUCCCAGAGGCGCACCUCAUCUCUACAUUGCUUCCAGAAGCAUGGUCUGCGGCAUCAAUUUCUGUGGCACCAGUCCCUUAAACAAUCUCAGCAUCAGAGCCACGGUUCUCAAUAAUCUCAACAUCAGAACAGUGAGCCCCGACAACCUCGUCACCAAGAUAGCGCUCUUCCUCUGAAACUGAGCGAUGAGGCGAACAUCUGACCAAUGAAAAGGCAUCCUCAGUCACGAUAGGACGGUGACGACGUGUACGUGGGACAAGGUCACAAAAAUGAUCGGAGGACUCAGCCUCAUCAUCAUCAUCAUCAUCAUCAUCAUCUAUAACUGCUAUACGAGGGGUGCGCAUUUUCAUGAGUCUUGCAGACAAAGGGAGAGUAUCAUCCAAGUCUGAGUUCGGCCUGGUAGGGGCAGCAUGGCCAAUAGCCACGGUACUGAGAGCGUCAGCAACCGCAGGGUCAAAAGACGGAGUAGGAUCCUACACAACACGAAAAAUAAAAAGUGUUCAUUUAAGAAGGUAUAGUCGCAAGAAGGAAAGUAACUUCAAAUCAAAAAAUUUUAAAAUUUUAAGAUGUCUAUUUGGUAUCUGAUGGAGCCUUUUGGAAAGGCAAGGAGUGGAAGGACUGGCAUCAGAAAUCCUCUUGUGGGCCAUCUUCUUAAGGCGGGUCGUCCGAGGAGCAGACGCGUUAUUCAAAGGGACUGGCUCUGGAGGAGCAAUUGCCAAGCUAGAAGUAGAUGUUCGAGCUGGAGGGUCAGUCGGAGCAGAUGAAGCGAAGAAGCUCGCAUACAUAUGAUCAGAUUUCGACUCUCAGGCAGCUGAAGAUAAAAGUCUUUCUUAUAAAUCGGCGGAGGUAAACAUGUGGACGGUCUGCUCUGGACAAACUCAAUAAAUGCAUCAAUAUUCUUCCGCCAAUAUCUCCUGAAAGAGGGGGUGAAACCCCCUACUCGGCUCAAGCCUAGCAUCGUCAAAGAGCCGGAUAUAGGAAGCAUGGUGUGUAUGAGUCCGCGAGUAAAUUGCUCGUAGCUAAAGGAGGUGCUGCCCCCGGGGCACACUGGUCAAACUCGAAUUAGCAUGUUACUCUGUCAGGUCUAUAGACGGUGCUAUCAACGUCCUCCUCAUGCCAUACCGGUAAUGAACUCGGACGAACCAUUAUCAGCAUAUCAACAAAGUAUGCAGAGAUAUCCUUCGGCAAGGGAAAGGACACUAGGCGGAAGGAACCAUGAUAGAUAAGUGGCGUUGCCACACCCAUCGAUGGGUAUACAUAGGGGCGUACCACAAAGCGCCGGAGAUCAUCUACCAAAGUAUUCCAGGAUAAGGUGGAAAUGACACGUGACCAACGUGUGAUUAAUGGCUGGCAAGUCUUCGCUUUCUCAAAUGUGCGAGACCUGUCAUUACCAAGCACGGGGAUACCAUCUUUAUCCACUAUCUCCCGAAGAACUUCUAACUCGAAUACAAUAAGAGUAGAGGCAAACUUUGGGAA